AAAGUGUUGUCUGCUUCGUUUUUUUCUCAUAGUGGCUGUAAUGCAGUAAACAAUACUUUGCAUGUUUUUUUCUUAAUAUUUUCAUUGUUUUAAGAAGGACCUGGUGUUCAUAAGCUAUAAGAAGCAAAACCAACCGAUGUCCUUUGCACAAUAUGGCCACGACCGCCAUCGUAAAGAAAGUGAUGUCUGCUUACACCAGCAGUAUUCUAAAAGAAACCAGAAGGACCUGGUGUUCAUAAGCUAUAAGAAGCAAAACCAACCGAUGUCCUUUGCACAAUAUGGCCACGACCGCCAUCGUAAAGAUCGUGAUGUCUGCUUACACCAGCAGUAUUCUAAAAGAAACCAGAAGGACCUGGUGUUCAUAAGCUAUAAGAAGCAAAACCAACCGAUGUCCUUUGCACAAUAUGGCCACGACCGCCAUCGUAAAGAUCGUGAUGUCUGCUUACACCAGCAGUAUUUUAAAAGGAGCCUGUCAAGCACAUUUGCCUGCCAUAUGCCUAGAGGUUGCCCGUGGAGGCAAGGAUGCCACUUUUUGGACUUGCAGUUGACCGCGCUUUGAAAACCAUGAUCUCAGUAGCACCUAAGACAACAUCUACAGACAGACACCUGCUGUCAAUUUGCAGCUUCUCUACUCAGCAGGGAGUCUCUACCCAGCAGGGAGUUUCUACUCAGUGUCUCUACUCAGCAGGGAGUCUCUACUCAUCAGGGAGUCUCUACUCAUCAGGGAGUCUCUACUCAGCAUCUCUACUCAGCAGGGAGUUGAAAAUCUCUUCUACAGGAUUUUGACAGUAUGGGACCAAUCAUCGACCAGUUCGCAUGCUCUUGUUUCGAUUGGAUUGUCUAAACUUGGCUUGAAGAGAAGAACCUGUGAUAUAAAUUACCUCUCUGUGACUUAAUUGUAUUACAGAUGUAUUAUCAAAAAUAUAUUUCAUAUAUAUAAUGCCGCCUUUGUGAAAGAAUAGCAAUACAUGAACUAGGGUAUGUUUGCCAAUGUUGGUCAGUCUAUCAUUCAAUUCAGUCAAUCUAUCAGUUCGCCUGUCUGAAGUUCUUGAUAGACACUAGUCUUGUUUUCAAAAUAACUCAAAACAGUUUGAACUUUUACCAAAUUAAUAGUAAGUUGUCCUUUACCAGAAAAUGACCAGUACUGUUUUAGAGGUUUAGAGGUUUGAAUGUCAGAAGCAAAGGUUACAACCAGUAGUGUACAUGUAAACAUAAUAUGCACAAUAACUCCAGAAGGCUUGGACCUUAGACCAUGAAUCCUAAAUGAUGUAAUGCCCCUGACUGGUAUUUUACCUCUACUGGGCUGGUAGAUCACUGGCAUAGUCAACAUCCAACAAUGUCAUGGAAAAGUUGUCUUUAAAAUAACUUAAGAGUGAUUUCUGUUCAAGGACCAUGUUCUUCAGUGUUAGUUUUAACAAUAUCAGAAUAAGUCAGAGUUAAUGUUGUUUGUAAAAUAUGUCAGAUCAUAAAAAACUUUAUUAGAAGCUUUUUUGACCAGUUGAUUACCCUUAUUAUUUCCAUUGUCAUUAGUUUAACGGUUAAUAUCACAGUCAUUGCCGAAAUAAUUUUUAUUAUUAUGGUAUAUUGCUUUGCACAGGCAUAUCCGUCGGUCAGUCAGUCCGUCCGUCGGUAGACCUAAGCUUGUCCGAGUGAUAACUCAACAAUUCCUGGACGUAUGGUCAUCAAACUUGACAUGAAGGUUGGGCCUGACCAGUAGAUGACUCCUAUUGAUUUUAGGGCUCAUCAGGUCAAAGGUCAAGGUCACAGUGACCUUUAAUGGUAAAAUAAUUUUAAAGCUUGUCCGAGUGAUAACUCAACAAUGCCUAGACCUACGGUCAUCAAACUUUAUAUGGAAGUUGGGCCUGACCAGUAGAUGACCCCUAUUGUUUUGGGGGGUCAUCGGGCCAAAGGUCAAGAUCACAGUGACCUUUAAUGGUAAAAUAAUUUUAAAGCUUGUCCGAGUGAUAACUCAACAAUGCCUAGACCUACGGUUAUCAAACUUGAUAUGGAAGUUGGGCCUGACCAGUAGAUGACCCCUAUUGUUUUGGGGGGUCAUCUGGCCAAAGGCCAAGGCACCAGUGACCUUGAAUGGUAAAAGGUUGUCCAUGUGAUAACUCGACAAUGCCUGCACCCAUGGCCAUCAAACUUGACUUAGAGGUUGGUCCUGACCAGUAGAUGACCCCUAUUGUUUUUGGAGGUCAUUGGGCCAAAGGUCAAGGUCACAGUGACCUUAAAUGGUAAAAGGUUGUCCGUGUGAUAACUCGACAAUGCCUGCACCCAUGGCCAUCAAACUUGACUUAGAAGUUGGGCCUGACCAGUAGAUGACCCCUAUUGUUUUUGGGGGUCAUUGGGCCAAAGGUCAAGGUCACAGUGACCUUAAAUGGUAAAAGGUUGUCCGAGUGAUAUCUCGACAAUGCCUGCACCCAUGGCCAUCGAACUUGACUUGGACCAAGGUUGGGCCUGACCAGUGAUGGCCCCUAUGGAUUUUAGGGGUCAUUGGGCCAAAGGUCAAGGUAACAGUGACUUUGAACGAUAAAAGGUUGCCCGAGUGAUAACUCUACAAUGCCUGCGCCCAUGGCCCUCAAACUUGACUUGGAGGUUGGGCCUGACCAGUAGAUGACCCCUAUUGAUUUAAAGGGUCAAAUGUCAAGGUCACAGUGACCUUGAAAGUAAACCCAACAAAUCCUGGACCUAUGGUCAUCAAACUUGACAUGAAGGUUGGGCCUGACCAGUAGAUGACCCCUCUUGACUUUGGGGGUUAUCAGGCCAAGGUCAAGGUCACAGUAACAUUUAACGCAAUAAAUAACAAAUUGUCUCCCAGUGAUAUCUUAACAAUGCCUGAAUCUAUGAUCAUCAAACUUGACAUGUAAGUUGAGCCUGACCAGGAGAUGACCCUUAUUGAUUUUAGGAGUCAUUGGGUCAAAGGUCAGGUUCACAGUGACCUUGAAAGCGAAAAUGUAACAAGUGAUAAUUGGACAAUGCCUGCACCCAUGGCCCUCAAACUUGACUUGGAGUUGUGUCUGACCUGUAGAUGACCCCUUAUGAUUUUAGGGGUCAUCGAGUCAAAGGUCAUGGUUACAGUGACCUUGAACGAAAAAAGCUUGUCUGUGUGAUAACUUGUCAUUGCCUGCACCCAUGGCCCUCAAACUUAACAUUUAGAUUUUUGGUGACCAGCUGAUGGAUCCUAUGGAUUUUGAGGUCAUAGAGUUAAAGGUCAUGGUCAUAACACACUCUAUCCUCAAACUUUGAAUGAUCAUAAUCUUAAAACUGCCUCAACGGCAUCCAAUGUCAGCGACAAAUCAGCUGUCAUUUCGGUCCAUGCAUAUUUCAUUCAAUUGUCCAUAUAAUCCUGACAACAUGGCGCUAGGGGGUGGGCAUAAUGUUUGACAAACAUCUCUUGUUUAAUCUAACACAAUGUUUCUGAAGAAGCAGUGGUUAAAGGACUUAGUAUUUGUAUAUGUAUCUUAAAUGUCGCGUUUUUGUUGUCUUUUUAAUAAGUGCCUGACAUUGUAAUUGCAUUUUAUUUUGCGUCUGUUAAUCAUUGUUUUUAUUAACAAUGGGGUAAUGUUUUCUUUCAAACGAAAAUAGCCUAAUGUAUUCACUUUUAUAUUUUUAACCGAAAGCAGGGUGUGACCAAUAGCACUCGUUAUUAUCUUAAUAAUUAUAUAGUCUUUUCAGCACUCUUAAAUUCAUUAAACACUGCUUAAGUGACGAAAUUGUUUUCAGAAUUAAAUUUAUAUCAAAAUUAACAUUAUAUCGAAAACAACAACAAAUGUUUUAUUAUUGUUUUAAAUAAAGCUCUAUGCAUAUAUACACAUAUGCUGGCCUACAUUAAUUAGGUGAACAUGCAGUCAUUUGUCACCUUGGUUCCUAAAAUAGCCCACUGUAUACAACGAAUAAUUAAAUUUGAUAUUGUUUCCUUAGAUUGUUUGCUUAAAUAUCUAUGCUUAUGAAAUUGUUAAAAUAAAACGUAAUAAUAUUGUCUACGAACGUUCACUACUUCAUUGAUAUAGCAACCU